rnacentral:lncRNA from 1 species
GAAGAAUUAGUGUUUGUUUUGAUAUCUAAAUUCCUAAAUUAAAAAACCCAAACAUUGAUUAAUAUUUUCUACUAACAACCACUUCGAAAAAGAUUUUGUUAAGUGUUUUGCAGGGUUAUAUCUCAAGAAUCAAAUUGGUUAAAAUCAAACAUCUGAAGAUGUCAUGAAGUAUCAAAGAUCAGAAUAUAAGUUACAAGUCUAUGAUGAAAUGGUCUUCUAUAUGAGUCGGAACACCUUCAUGUUGAC